UGCACGAAGGUCGGGCCUGGCGGGGCCGGGCCGGGCCGCGCGCAGCUGAGCGGUGGUCCGAGCGCCCGGCCCGCGCCGCGGGCUUCCGCCGGGUCAGCUGACUGCCCAGUGCGGAACUGCGCUCCCCGCCAGCCGCGCUCCCCGUCCCACCGCGCUGCGCGCCCGCCAGGUCCGGGCUGCCAUGGCCGGGCUGGUGGUCAGUGGAACUCAUGUGUCCUACAUAGGCCAGGACUGCAGAGAAAUUCCAGAGCACCUUGGCAGGGACUGUGGACAUUUUGCAAAGAGGCUUGAUCUGAGCUUUAACCUCCUGAGAUGCCAACUGCUGUACUUUUAGUAGAGUGGGAAAGCAGGACCGGAGAGGCAACUAGGCUGAUAUGGCCGUUGGGGCCAUGGUGA